GAGAGAGUCAGAAUCAACUAGCUGUGGACCAAAUAGCUUUCCAAAAGAAGCUCUUUCAGACCCUGAGGAGACACCCUUCCUAUCCCAAAAUAAUAGAAGAAUUUGUUAGUGGCCUGGAGUCUUAUAUUGUGGAUGAAGACAGUUUCAGAAAC